rnacentral:rRNA from 1 species
GACGUAGGGUGCGAGCGUUGUCCGGAUUUAUUGGGCGUAAAGAGCUCGUAGGCGGCUCGUCGCGUCGACCGUGAAAACCCGCGGCUUAACUGCGGGCUUGCGGUUGAUACGGGCGGGCUAGAGUUCGGUAGGGGAGACUGGAAUUCCUGGUGUAGCGGUGAAAUACGUAGAUAUCCGGAGGAACACCAGCGGCGAAGGCGGCUUUCUGGUCUGAUACUGACGCUGAGGCGCGAAAGCGUGGGGAGCGAUCCGG